rnacentral:rRNA from 1 species
GUCUAUGAUCAUACUACCCUGAAUGUGCCUGAUUUCGUCUGAUCUCGGAAGCUAAGCAGGGUUGGGCCUGGUUAGUACUUGGAUGGGAAACCAUAACUACCUGACUUUUUGCCU